rnacentral:lncRNA from 1 species
UACUCCAAAAACCAUUAUUCGUUACUGCCAGAUCUAUAUAUAAUUCCUUGGAAGAAUUAUGCUGCUAAUGCAUGUCUGCCAGGGUGCCAGCUGAUAUUUGCGGCUGGCAUGCCUUUUUCACACUGGAAGGUAAAAAAAAAGUAGCCUUGCAAGAAAAGGCAACGGAAGAUAAAAUUCGUGGAUUAGAAGAGGUAGGGCACA